rnacentral:ncRNA from 1 species
AGGCUAAAUACUCCUGAGAGACCGAUAGUGAACCAGUACCGUGAGGGAAAGGUGAAACGAACCCCGAACAGGGGAGUGAAAUAGAACCUGAAACUGUGUGCUUACAAGCGGUCGGAGCGUCCAGGUGGCGUGACGGCGUGCCUUUUGCAUAAUGAGCCUACGAGUUACUCUUCUCUGGCAAGGUUAAGUGUUUCAGACACGGAUCCGAAGCGAAAGCGAGUCUGAAUAGGGCGUAUAGUCAGGGGAGGUAGACGCGAAACCUUGUGAUCUACCCAUGGACAGGUUGAAGGUGCGGUAACACGUACUGGAGGACCGAACCGAUAAACGUUGAAAAGUUUCCGGAUGAUCUGUGGGUAGGGGUGAAAGGCUAAUCAAACUGGGAAAUAGCUCGUACUCCCCGAAAUGUUUUUAGGAACAGCGUGGUGGUUAAGUUAUCUAGAGGUAGAGCUACUGAUUGGGUGCGGGGGAGUCAAAUCCUACCAAAUCCAGACAAACUCCGAAUGCUAUUUAAUAUACACGGCAGUGAGGCGCGGGGUGCUAAGGUCACGCGCCGAGAGGGAAAGAACCCAGACCAUCAGCUAAGGUCCCCAAGUUACAGUUAAGUUGAACUAACGAGGUCCGAUUGCAUAGACAGCUAGGAUGUUGGCUUGGAAGCAGCCAUUCAUUUAAAGAGUGCGUAACAGCUCACUAGUCGAGCGAUCGGGCAUGGAUAAUAAACGGGCAUUAAACUGUACACCGAAGCUAUGGGUAAUAUUAAUAUUACGGUAGGGGAGCAUUCCAGCGGCAGCGAAGGUAUGACGUAAGUUGUGCUGGAGCUUCUGGAAAAGCAAAUGUAGGCAUAAGUAACGAUAAGGCAGGCGAGAAACCUGCCCACCGAAAGGAUAAGGUUUCCUGAUCAACGCUAAUCGGAUCAGGGUUAGUCGGGGCCUAAGGAGAACCCGAAAGGGAUAUUCGAUGGACAACGGAUUAAUAUUUCCGUACUUUUUAUAACUGCGAUGUGGGGACGGAGUAGUGACACUGCCGCGAUCUGACGGAAUAGAUCGUUAAAGGCUGUAGGUAUAGGACCGGUAGGCAAAUCCGCCGGUCUUGCUAAAGGCUGAUAGUACAGCAAACCUUCGGGGGCGUUGAUAGUGCAGGUAAUCAGACUUCCAAGAAAAACCGCUAAGCUUCAGGUUAUAAAAACCCGUACCGCAAACCGACACAGGUAUCCGGGAAGAGGAUUCUAAGGUGCUCGAGUGAAUCAUGGCUAAGGAACUCGGCAAAAUGGCCCUGUAACUUCGGGAGAAGGGGCGCUGGCAGCAAUAUCAGCCGCAGUGAAAAGGCCCAGGCGACUGUUUAACAAAAACACAUGGCUUUGCAAAAUCGAAAGAUGAAGUAUAAGGCCUGACACCU